AGGGGGAAGCCGGAUCCUGGGCUGUGUCCCGGCGCCCUGUGCCCCGGAGCCUGCGCUGUUGGAUUCGCGCUCCCGGGCCGCGCAGCCCCCU
rnacentral:pre_miRNA from 1 species